CUACGGGCGGCUCCAGUGGGGAAUAUUGCACAAUGGGCGCAAGCCUGAUGCAGCCAUGCCGCGUGUAUGAAGAAGGCCUUCGGGUUGUAAAGUACUUUCAGCGGGGAGGAAGGGAGUAAAGUUAAUACCUUUGCUCAUUGACGUUACCCGCAGAAGAAGCACCGGCGAACUCCGUGCCAGCAGCCGCGGUAAUACGGAGGGUGCAAGCGUUAAUCGGAAUUACUGGGCGUAAAGCGCACGCAGGCGGGUUGUUAAGUCAGAUGUGAAAUCCCCGGGCUCAACCUGGGAACUGCAUCUGAUACUGGCAAGCUUGAGUCUCGUAGAGGGGGGUAGAAUUCCAGGUGUAGCGGUGAAAUGCGUAGAGAUCUGGAGGAAUACCGGUGGCGAAGGCGGCCCCCUGGACGAAGACUGACGCUCAGGUGCGAAAGCGUGGGGAGCAAACAGGAUUAGAUACCCUAGUAGUC
rnacentral:rRNA from 1 species